AUGGCCGCGCAGGCCCCCGAGGGCGAGGGGCCGGCCCCCGCCCGCCCAUCGCGCAUCCGCGUCAUGCGCCCGGAGGUGGAGGAGGUCCUCAAGAGCCCCCGCCGCGGCCGCGCCAAGCUGCACAAGGAGGGCGGCGGCGAGGAGGACGACGCCGGCGCGCGCCCGCGGUACGACUGCGCGUUCCAGGACGAGGAGGGGCAGCAGGGGUUCGCGCCGCCCGACGUGGUGUGGUGCAAGGUGCGGAGCCACCCCUGGUGGCCGGCCCAGGUCUUCGACGCCGCCGACGCCUCCGAGCUCGCGCUCCGGCACGCCAGGCCGGGGGUGCCCCUCGUCGCCUACUUCUGGGACCGGACUUUCGCCUGGAUGGACCCCCCCGCGCUGCGCCCCUUCCGCGCCCACUUCCCCCGCCUCGCCGCCCAGAGCACCGUCUCCAGCUACGUCGCCUCCGUCGACGCCGCCCUGCAGGAGGUCACCCGCCGCAUCGAGGCCGGCCUCUCCUGCACCUGCUCCCCGCCCGCCGUCGCCAGGAAGCAGCAGAUUCACAACUCCGGGAUCAGGGAAGGGGCCUACGGCGCCGUGGUGGACGAGGUGUACAUGAGGGACACGUUCCGUGCCAAGCCCUUCAUCGACUACAUUUCGGCGCUGGGGAGGAGCCCGCUGGCCGGCGCCGAUCGUCUCGACCUUGCCACCGCCAUGGCACAGCUCAGGUCAUUCAACCGGUUGAGGUGUCCAAUGGAGCUCCCUGAGUUUGUCAUCUACCAGGGGAUUGAGGACGUUGCUGCUGCUGUUGCUCCUGAGGCUGAGGCUGAGGCUGAUGCUGAUGUGGCAGCAACAUCGCCGCAGACAAAGAGGAAGAGGACGGAGGAGAAGGGCGGCGAUGCUCCGACCAAGGAGGAGAAGAAAUCGAGGAGGCGUGGCGAGAGCUCGUCGCCCAAGAGAGAUACUGCUGCAAAGGAACCAGAAGUGGCCAUUGAUGUUGAGAACAGCACUCCUAUGCCCAUGGACAGGAUCAUGGACACCUCCGAAGAUGCAGCGGAUAAGGGAGAAGCUCCUGCAAACAAAGAUGCUGACAUGGUUGUUGAGGACACCCCUCCUAUGCCCAGUACCAAGCAAAGGAAGUCAAAGAGAGGUAGCAAGGCUUCAGCUGAGAAAAAGAAGAAAGACACCCCCAAAGACACUGCAGAUAAGGGCGAGUCUCUGCCAGAGGCAGAGCCUGCCAAAGAAGAUGAUGUGAAUGAGGACAGCUCUAUGCCGAGUGUGGAGGCGACAGAUGAUACAUUGAGCAAGCAAAGGAAGUCGAAGAGAGUUAGCAAGAGUGCAGCAGAGAGCAAGAAGAAAGACGCCUCCAAAGACACGGCAGAUAAGGGCGAGUCUCUACCAGAGGCAGAGCCUGCAAAACAAGAUGAUGUGGAUGAGGACAGCUCUAUGCCCAGCAGCGGGGCGGCAGAUGAUAUGUCGAGCAAGGGAAGUAAGUCAAAGAGAGCUACUAGGAGUUCAGCAAAGACGAAGAAGAACGACACCUCCAAGGACACAGACAAGACAGACUUUGUAACUGAGCCUGCAAAGGAAGUGGCCGAGAACGAGGACAGCUCUAUGCCCAGUUCAGAGGCGGCAGAUGAUACAGUGAGCAAGGGAAGAAAGUCAAAGAAAAGUAAGGGUUCGGCAAAGACGAAGAAGAAAGAUGCAGAUAAGAAAGAGUCUCUACCAGAGCCUGCAAAGGAAGUUGCCGAGAAUGAGGACAGCUCUAUGCCCAGUGCAGAGGCGACAGAUGAUACAGUGAGCAAGGGAAGAAAGUCAAAGAAAAGUAAAGGUUCGGCAAAGACGAAGCAGAAAGAUGCAGAUAAGAAUGAGUCUCUACCAGAGCCUGCAAAGGAAGGUGCUGAGAAUGAGGACAGCUCUAUGCGCAGUACGAGGUCGGCAAAGAAGAAGAAGAAAGACGCAGGUAAGGAGUCUCUGCAAGAGCCUGCAAAGGAAAAGGCCACUGGUGAUGGCAGUUCAACGCCGAGUAGAGGGGCGGCAGAUGAUACACCGAGCAAGAAAAGGAAGUCCAGUAAGAAGAGUUCAGCCAGGAACAGGAUCAUAGACACGUCCAUGGAUGCGAUGGAUGGCAUUUUGAGUGAGAGAAAAUCAGGGCGUAGGCUAAGGUCCAGCCACAAGAUUGUAGAGGCUUUGGAGGUUAUGAAAUGGCCGAGGAAGAAGGAUGCUGGUGAAACCACAAAGGUAAAAGAUAAAGAUGCUACUUUGCCCAAGGAGAACGAUCUAGGGCGUAGGGCGGGCUCUGCACGCCACAAGGAUAAAACCACAAUCACAAAGGAUGGGGAUGGACUUACAGUUUCUCCUCUCAAGAAAAGGUUGCACCUUGAUGUACUCUCAGCAACAGAGAAUCCGCCCUUCGCAGUCUCAGAGCUUGGCAGGAAGAAGAAGACGCUUAUUGAACUUCUGGCAGAGACAGCUACCCCUAACCCUUCAGCAGGUGGUAAGAGCAAGGCUCGAGCUGAGCGCCCCUUGCCUUCUUCAGUCCUGAAACCUGAGGCUACACCGAACACCAGAGGGAAGCGUUCUUUGCCUGCUUCUACUGAGACACCUGAGGAUCCAGGCCGUGAUAAGGAUACAAUGAAGACCAGAGAGAAGCGUUCUGUGGCCGCAUCAACCGAGAAACCUGAGCGUGAUACGAGAAGUACAUUGAAGUCUAGAGGAAAAAGUUCUUUGCCUUCUUCCGCCGAGGAACCUGAGGACCCAGACCGUGAUAAAAAUGAUACACUGAAGACUAGAGGGAAGCGUUCUUUGCCUGCAUCAGCUGAGAAACCUCAGGAUCCUGACCGCGGCACAAAGGGUACAGCGAAGACUAGGGGUAAACGCUCUCGGCCUGAAUCAACUGAGGAUCCUGACCGUGUUACAAAGGGUACAGCGAAGACUAAGGGGACAAGUUCUCUGCCUGAAUCAACUGAGGAACCAGAGGAUCCUGAUAACCUUGUUAUGAAGGAUACAAUGUACACCAGGAAACGAAAGAAGCUCGACACAUUGGGGGAUUUGUCUUCCCAGCCACAGCCUGUUUCUCCCAAGAGUUCCACGAAAUCUCGAGAAGUGAAGCGCAAAGCUGCUGGGCAGAAGUCACAGGCAUCUCCUGUUGUCAAAGCCAAUGUUGGCAUAUCAGGCGAUAUGUCUUCCCAGCCAGAGCCUGUCUCUUCCAAAAGGUCCGCAAGGCGCAAAGCUGCUGAACCGAAGCCACAGGAAACCCCUGUUGUCAAAGCUAACGGUGAAGCUUCUCAGACGAGGUCGCGUAGGGCCAAAAACAGUGAAGUAACUGUUCCAGACAAGCCUCCACGCUCUGUUAAGCCGGAUAAGGGCAAGAAAGGCGCCGUGGCAGAAGGCUCUCCGUCUUGUGGUGAAAUGCUGUCACAGCUUUGUGUCGGAGCAAGUGAUGUUGAGAAGAUGGCGAAGAUCACCCCUACGAGCGCUGGCUUCUUGACUGAUUUCCUGAAGAGCGCUCGUGCCUGUACUUCUGAUGUGGAGGAGGCAGCCAACACAGACUGCGAUGCUUCUAGUCCCAAUGCUGACAAGGAGAUACCUGAGAAGGCAGCAGCAGACAAAGUUUCUAGUCCCAAUGCUGACGAAGAGAUACCUGAGAAAGCAGCAGCAGACAAGAUUUCUAGUCCUCAUGCUGUCGAGAAGAUACCUGAGAAGGCAACAGACAAUGUUUCUAGUCCUCAUGCUGACUUGGAGGUGCCAGAGGAGGCUGCAGACAAAGUGUCUAGUCCUCAUGCUGACGAUGAGGUGAUACCUGAGGAGGCAGCAGGCAAAGUGUCUAGUCCUCAUGCUGAUGAUGAGGUGAUACCUGAGGAGGCAGCAGAGAAAGUUUCUAGUCCCAAUGCUGAUGAGGUGAUACCCGAGAAGGCAGCAAAUGAAGUUUCCAGUGUCCCUGCUGAUGAGGCGAUGAUACCUGAGAAGGCAGCAGAGAAAGUUUCUAGUCCUAAUGCUGAUGAGGCGAUACCUGAGGAGGCAGCAGACAAAGUUUCUAGUCCCCAUGCUGAUGAGGCGAUACCUGAGAAGGCAGCAGAUGAAGUUUCACUUGCCCCUGCCGACGCGGAGACACUUUUGAAGGUAAAAGAGGAAGUUUCUAGUCCCCUUGCUGACGAGGAGACACUUGAGAAGGCAACAACAGAGAAAGUUUCUAGUGCCACUGCCGACGAGGAGACACUUGAGACGGCAGCAACAGAGAAAGUUUCUAGUGCCCCUGCCGACGAGGAGACACCUGAGACGGCAGCAACAGAGAAAAUUUCUGAUGCCCCUGCCGGUGAGGAGACACUUGAGAAGGUAAAAGAGGAAGUUUCUAGUCCGCUUGCUGAUGAGGUGAUACCUGAGAAGACGGCAGAGAAAGUUUCUAGUCCCCCCCAUGCUGAUGAGGCGAUACCUGAGAAGGCAGCAGAUGAAGUUUCUAGCCCCCCUGCCGACGUGGAGACACCUGAGAAGGCAACAGAGAAAGUUUCUUGCCCCCCUGCCGACAAGGGGAUAGCUGAGAAGCCAGCAGACAAAGUGUCUAGUCCUCAUUGCUGA
rnacentral:rRNA from 1 species